AAGGCUUUAGCUUAAUUAAAGCAUCUGAUUUGCACUCAGAGGAUACAGGUUAAUGUCCUGUUAGUCUUA
rnacentral:tRNA from 1 species